GACUCGUCACACUAUCAUUAACUGAAUCCAUAGGUUAAUGAGGCGAACCGGGGGAACUGAAACAUCUAAGUACCCCGAGGAAAAGAAAUCAACCGAGAUUCCCCCAGUAGCGGCGAGCGAACGGGGAGGAGCCCAGAGCCUGAAUCAGCAUGUGUGUUAGUGGAAGCGUCUGGAAAGGCGCGCGAUACAGGGUGACAGCCCCGUACACAAAAGCGCAUGUGCUGUGAGCUCGAUGAGUAGGGCGGGACACGUGGUAUCCUGUCUGAAUAUGGGGGGACCAUCCUCCAAGGCUAAAUACUCCUGACUGACCGAUAGUGAACCAGUACCGUGAGGGAAAGGCGAAAAGAACCCCGGCGAGGGGAGUGAAAAAGAACCUGAAACCGUGUACGUACAAGCAGUGGGAGCACCCUUUGGGGUGUGACUGCGUACCUUUUGUAUAAUGGGUCAGCGACUUAUAUUCUGUAGCAAGGUUAACCGAAUAGGGGAGCCGGAGGGAAACCGAGUCUUAACCGGGCGUUAAGUUGCAGGGUAUAGACCCGAAACCCGGUGAUCUAGCCAUGGGCAGGUUGAAGGUUGGGUAACACUAACUGGAGGACCGAACCGACUAAUGUUGAAAAAUUAGCGGAUGACCUGUGGCUGGGGGUGAAAGGCCAAUCAAACCGGGAGAUAGCUGGUUCUCCCCGAAAGCUAUUUAGGUAGCGCCUCGUGAAUUCAUCUCCGGGGGUAGAGCACUGUUUCGGCUAGGGGGCCAUCCCGGCUUACCAACCCGAUGCAAACUGCGAAUACCGGAGAAUGUUAUCACGGGAGACACACGGCGGGUGCUAACGUCCGUCGUGAAGAGGGAAACAACCCAGACCGCCAGCUAAGGUCCCAAAGUCAUGGUUAAGUGGGAAACGAUGUGGGAAGGCCCAGACAGCCAGGAUGUUGGCUUAGAAGCAGCCAUCAUUUAAAGAAAGCGUAAUAGCUCACUGGUCGAGUCGGCCUGCGCGGAAGAUGUAACGGGGCUAAACCAU
rnacentral:rRNA from 1 species